UACGUAGGGGGCAAGCGUUGUCCGGAUUCAUUGGGCGUAAAGAGCGUGUAGGCGGCCAGGUAGGUCGGUUGUGAAACUGGAGGCUCAACCUUCAGAGGUCGACCGAAACCAUCUGGCUAGAGUCCGGGAGAGGAGAGUGGAAUUCCGUGGUGUAGCGGUGAAAUGCGCAGAUAUCAGGAAGAACACCCGUGGCGAAAGCGGCUCUCUGGAACGGUACUGACGCUGAGACGCGAAAGCGUGGGAGCGAACAGG
rnacentral:rRNA from 1 species